UUUUAUUUGAGAGUUUGAUCCUGGCUCAGGAUGAACGCUGGCGGCGUGCCUAACACAUGCAAGUCGAGCGAACCCUUCGGGGUGAGCGGCGGACGGGUGAGUAACGCGUGGGUAACCUGCCCUGUACACACGGAUAACAUACCGAAAGGUAUGCUAAUACGAGAUGAUAUAUAAAAGUUGCAUGACUUUUAUAUCA
rnacentral:rRNA from 1 species